rnacentral:tRNA from 1 species
AGCAUCAGCUGGGAAUCGAACCUGGGCCGCCCGCGUGGUAGGCGAGCAUUCUACCACUGAACCGCCGAUGG